rnacentral:piRNA from 1 species
CCUUCAUCCAUGCCUCGAUACCCUUG